AAUCUGGGAUCUCGUCUGGAAAGCAACUAGUGUUCUACGAGCUUCGGAAGCAGGAGGGAAAGCAAGCCUAGUAUCCAUUCCCUUCUCAGCUCAUUCAGCAGCAGGCAAUUGGAAGACACUGUAAAAACUG
rnacentral:snoRNA from 1 species